GUGCCAGCAGCCGCGGUAAUUCCAUGCUCCAAUAGCGUAUAUUAAAGUUGUUGCAGUUAAAAAGCUCGUAGUUGAAACUUGGGCCUGGCUGGCGGGUCCGCCUCACCGCGUGCACUCGUCCGGCCGGGCCUUCCUUCUGAAGAACCUCAUGCCCUUCACUGGGCGUGCUGGGGAAUCAGGACUUUUACUUUGAAAAAAUUAGAGUGUUCAAAGCAGGCCUUUGCUCGAAUACGUUAGCAUGGAAUAAUAAAAUAGGGCGUGCGUUUCUAUUUUGUUGGUUUCUAGAGACGCCGCAAUGAUUAACAGGAACAGUCGGGGGCAUCAGUAUUCAGUUGUCAGAGGUGAAAUUCUUGGAUUUACUGAAGACUAACUACUGCGAAAGCAUUUGCCAAGGAUGUUUUCAUUAAUCAGUGAACGAAAGUUAGGGGAUCGAAGACGAUCAGAUACCGUCGUAGUCUUAACCGUAAACUAUGCCGACUAGGGAUCGGGCGAUGUUCUUUUUCUGACUCGCUCGGCACCUUACGAGAAAUCAAAGUUUUUGGGUUCUGGGGGGAUUAUGGUCGCAAGGCUGAAACUUAAAGAAAUUGACGGAAGGUCACCACCAGGCGUGGAGCCUGCGGCUUAAUUUGACUCAACACGGGGAAACUCACCAGGUCCAGAUGAAAUAAGGAUUGACAGAUUGAGAGCUCUUUCUUGAUUUUUCAGGUGGUGGUGCAUGGCCGUUCUUAGUUCGUGGGUGACUUGUCUGCUUAAUUGCGAUAACGAGCGAGACCUUACUCUGCUAAAUAGCCA
rnacentral:rRNA from 1 species